GGCUGAUACCGCCCAAGAGUUCAUAUCGACGGCGGUGUUUGGCACCUCGAUGUCGGCUCAUCACAUCCUGGGGCUGAAGUCGGUCCCAAGGGUAUGGCUGUUCGCCAUUUAAAGUGGUACGCGAGCUGGGUUUAGAACGUCGUGAGACAGUUCGGUCCCUAUCUGCCGUGGGCGUUGGAAGAUUGAAGGGGGCUGCUCCUAGUACGAGAGGACCGGAGUGGACGAACCUCUGGUGUUCGGGUUGUGUCGCCAGACGCAUUGCCCGGUAGCUAAGUUCGGAAUCGAUAACCGCUGAAAGCAUCUAAGCGGGAAGCGAGCCCUGAGAUGAGUCUUCCCUGAUACUUUAAGUAUCCUAAAGGGUUGUUCGAGACUAGAACGUUGAUAGGCAGGGUGUGUAAGUGCUGUGAGGCAUUGAGCUAACCUGUACUAAUUGCCCGUGAGGCUUAACCAUACAACACCCAAGGGGUUU
rnacentral:rRNA from 1 species